AUUGAACGCUGGCGGAAUGCUUUACACAUGCAAGUCGAACGGCAGCACGGACUUCGGUCUGGUGGCGAGUGGCGAACGGGUGAGUAAUACAUCGGAACGUGCCCAUUCGUGGGGGAUAACGUAGCGAAAGCUACGCUAAUACCGCAUACGAUCUACGAAUGAAAGCGGGGGAUCGCAAGACCUCGCGCGAUUGGAGCGGCCGAUGGCAGAUUAGGUAGUUGGUGAGGUAAAGGCUCACCAAGCCGACGAUCUGUAGCUGGUCUGAGAGGACGACCAGCCACACUGGGACUGAGACACGGCCCAGACUCCUACGGGAGGCAGCAGUGGGGAAUUUUGGACAAUGGGCGCAAGCCUGAUCCAGCCAUUCCGCGUGCAGGAUGAAGGCCCUCGGGUUGUAAACUGCUUUUGUACGGAACGAAAAGGCUCUGGUUAAUACCUGGGGCUCAUGACGGUACCGUAAGAAUAGGCACCGGCUAACUACGUGCCAGCCGCCGCCGUAAUAC
rnacentral:rRNA from 1 species